rnacentral:misc_RNA from 1 species
GUGUGUGUGUGUGUGUCUAGAGAUGACUGGUUUGUCACGGGAAGGCACUAAAAAAAUAAAGAAUUUACUAUAUGACCAUCGUCCGUACACAUUGAAUGAAGAUGACUAUGCUCGAGUUUGCCAAAUUCCUAAAAGAAAGGUUGGAUAGAUAUGACAUUUUCUAUGUUGAGUAUUUUUACUUUCUUUCUUUCUUACCUAGAAUAUUUUCAGGGAGCGAAUUUCAGGGACCUCCCUGGUAUAGUUGUAGGAGGAGAUAAUGUUGUCCGGCGGGAUCCAACAAAGGAGCAAGUGCUGUUGCCAUCUGGAAGGCCACUGGUACCAGAUUUUGCCUUCUCUUUUGUACAAGGAAAGUCAAAAAGGUUUGUCAAAUAAUUCCUUCUGCUGCUGUAUUGCAUAUUUUGUUUUCCUUAUAAUUUAAUCUAUAAAGUGUAGGCCUUAUGCAAGAUUAUGGUGGGACGAGACAGUGUCAACUGUGGUGACAUACCCAGAUCUUCACAGCCAGGUCUGUCCUCGCUCUUGUUUUUGGAUUAUCAUGAUAUGUGAUAUGUCCUGAACAUUGUUGUCAGUUGUUGAUCGUUUAUAGGCAGUGAUACAUCCAGAGCAGGAUAGGGUCCUCACUAUAAGAGAAUGUGCAAGGCUGCAAGGUUUUCCUGAUUACUAUAGAUUCUCUGGAACAGUUAAAGAAAGGUACCGUCAAAUUGGGAAUGCUGUUGCUGUUCCUGUAGGUCGAGCCUUAGGAUAUGCAUUGGGGAUGGCAUUUCAGAAACUCAGUGGGGAUGAACCACUGAUGGAACUCCCUCCUAAGUUCUCUCAUUCAACUAAUCUCCAAUUAACUAAAUCACUGUUCCAUAAGACUAACUAGAAUUUUCUUCAUGCAGCCUACCAUUUAUCUUAUCUUUUUCAACUUAACCAUGUCACUGCUUGAUUUCUUAAAUUUGUAUACUGGUCUGUUGUCAUUGAGGCAGCUCCUUAGUUUCAUUUGUUGAAGCUCUUUGAGCAAAAUUUAGAAUAAAUACACUAUGAUAGUUGAUUAUGAUGGGAUUCAUAUAGAAUCUAUCAUGAUUAAUUGUCAUAAUAAAACUGUUGUUUAUACAACGGUGUAUUUUUAAAAUUUUUUCCUACCAUCGAGCAAGAUUCAUGUUUGUAUACUUGUGUUUCAAAAGUGAGUUGCAUAGUCCUUGACUUUCUAAAAAUAUAUGUAAAUAUUGGC